rnacentral:rRNA from 1 species
AUGUCCAUUAUGAAAUUUCCUAAGUGGGCAAUUGAUGCUAUUACUUCACAAAUGUCUCACUUUUUCUGGGGCAAUGUUGGGGAUACCUAUAAAUAUCAUCUAGCCAAGUGGGGGCUGGUCUCUCAAAAGAAAGAGUGGGGUGGCUUGGGUGUCCCUAAUCUUAGGGAGUUUAAUAUGUCCUUACUUGUUGCUUGGAGCAAACGUUUCUUUGAUGAUAAAGAUAGUGACUGGAAGAAAUUACUUAGUUAUAAGUAUAAUGUGGAUAGGCCAAAUAUCCUUUGGUCCAGAACUGGGGUGGGCUCUCCCUUCUGGAAGAGCUUUGCCUGGGCCUUUUCUGCUGCUAAGACUUUUUAUAGGUGGAUCCCUAGGGAUGGGAGGAAUAUUUCUUUCUGGCAUGAUACCUGGGUGGGUGAAUUUUCACCCAAGACUAGAUUCUGGGACCUGUUUGUUAUUUGUCAGCAACAAGAUGCCUCAUUGGCCCAGGUUUGGGAUGGGGAGAAUUUACAGUUGACCUUUAGGAGAUGUGUGCUCCUGGAAUGA